rnacentral:rRNA from 1 species
GACGAACGCUGGCGGCGUGCUUAACACAUGCAAGUCGAACGGUGAAGCGCCUUCCUUUUUGGUGGGUGUGGUUGGGUGGCGAACGGGUGAGUAACACGUGAGUAACCUGCCCCCUUCUUCGGGAUAACCGCAUGAAAGUUUGGCUAAUACGGGAUUUUCUGGUUCUCUCGCAUGAUGGGGCUGGGAAAGAUAUUGUUUCGGGGGGGGAGGGGCUCGCGGCCUAUCAGCUUGUUGGGGGGUGGAGGGCCUAACAAGGGGGUGAAGGGUAGCCGGCCUGGGGGGGUGGACGGGCACAUGGGGACUGGGGCACGGGCCCGGAUGCUAAGGGGGGCAGCAGGGGGGGAUAUUGCACAAUGGGCGAAAGGCUGAUGCAGCGACGGCGCGUGAGGGAUGGAGGCCUUCGGGUUGGGAACCUCUUUCGCCAGUGAAGGCGGCCUGCCUCGUUUGUGGGUGGGUUGACGGUAGCUGGAGAAGAAGCGCCGGCUAACUACGUG